rnacentral:ncRNA from 1 species
UGGACAACAUCAGCAAAAUCUAGUGAAAAUAUAUUCUUAUAAUCCAAAAUAUAAUGAUAUGGACAAAUCACCAACAAAUACAAAAUGCACUAAAAACUUCAUGGGAUUGUGCAGGCCCAUGAUGGGUGUUGAUACAUGUGAUUUCUACCUAGUGCUCUAAAAGUCAAAGUGAAGAAAUUCAAUGAAGCACAGAUAAAUGAUGGGAGUAACUAUAACUCUAUUAAGGUUGUCAAAUGCCUCAUCAUCUAAUUAGUGACACGCAUGAAUGGAUGAGCAAGAUUCCCACUGUCCCUACCUACUAUCCAGCAAAACCAAAGCCAAGAAAACAGGCUUGG